rnacentral:rRNA from 1 species
UACGGAGGGGGCUAGCGUUGUUCGGAAUUACUGGGCGUAAAGGGCGCGUAGGCGGCUUAGUAAGUUGAAAGUGAAAUACCAGGGCUCAACCCUGGAAUUGCUUUCAAAACUGCUUUGCUAGAGAGUGGUAGAGGAUGGUAGAAUUCCUAGUGUAGAGGUGAAAUUCUUAGAUAUUAGGAGGAAUACCGGUGGCGAAGGCGACCAUCUGGGCCAUUUCUGACGCUAAGGCGCGAAAGCGUGGGGAGCAAACAGG